CGAGUAGCUAGGACUACAGGCAUGUGCCACCACGCUCAGCUACUUUUGUUUUUUGUUUGUUUGUUUGUUUGUUUUAGUAGAGAUGGGGUUUCACUUUGUUGGUUAGGCUGGUCUUGAACCCCUGACCUCAGGUGAUCCGCCCACCUAGGCCCCCCAAAGUAUUGGGAUUACAGGAGUGAACCACUGCGCCCGGCCUCGAAUGUGAGUGCGUUAAAACCCAGAUCGGGUCUGAUUGGGGUUGGCACCCAGGUGGCUCCAUAAUUGUUGCUGUCCUGAAUUAUUGCCCUCUUUGCUACUUGGACCGAACCCCAUCUUGGGACCACCGACUUCCUCUGACUCCUGGUCAGGCUCCUGGGCGGCAAAUCCUGGCCCCUGGUAUGGUCCCGCCUGCCUCUCUGUCCCCUUGUCUACCUGACCAGACCUCUGAACUUCAAGGCCUGGAUGCCCUGUCUCUCCUCCUGUGAGGCUCUGUCCUACCUCAUGUUGGGACCUAGGGCGCUCUGUUGUACAACUCCAGGGAGCACCAUUGUGUCUUCUGUAAAUGGCAGCUCCUGGAACACAGUGAGCCCUCAAUAGGGCAUGUCAGCUGUGGGCUCAGACAUCCUUUGGGUCUGGCAGUGCUCCAUUUCAUGUGCCCUGUCACCCUCACCCCUCUUUUUCCAUCCCACUUCUCCUAGCUGGACCAAGCUAGGCGUCAUCUACAAGCCCGGUGUGCUGACCAGGGAAUGUGUGGGGCUUGGGGCAUGGGGACAAUAAAUAACAUCACUUUUCUCAUUUCCCAGGCAGGUAACCAAUUGAAAGAUAAGAUACCAUAGACAGACAUCAACUUUAUUCCUGACUAAAGCUCAAAAGAAGGGCGUGGCGUAGAUUUACAGUGACCAUCCUAACACUCACGCGCAGAGUCACACGGUCCCACACUGGGCUGGACCAGCCCUGCUAAGCCCACAAGAGGUGGGGAGAACAGCAGCCGCUUCCUCUUUGUGGGGCCCAGGCCUGAGCUUCCCUCCGUUCCUGCCCCGGAUCUGACCACUGGGAUUGUGGGAGAGGGUGUCAAAGGACAGUUUUCUCCCAUAGUUUUCCCUUCCAGGGAGAAGAGUGGAAAUCCCCUCAUCUCAAAGGCAACAUGAGAUUGGAGAAUGUACUCUCAAAUCCCCAAACAGCAACAGAAUUGUUCUGCUUGCUUCAGAGCAGAGGCUCCGCAGCCCUUUCCAGACCUCUCCCAAGCGUGGAAAUGGACGAAGGGCUGGAUGGGGCUCAGAGGGGAGGUCAGGCGGGACUCCCUCAGACAGCAGCUGGGGUUCCUCUGUUCCAGGCCCAGCUCUCACUGAAACAGGAGAGGGUGUGAAGGAAUGGAUUUGGAACUGUCAAGAACUCCUUCCUUAGUGGGCAGUGGAGGUAAUGCAGGGUUCAGACCAUCUGUGCCCUGGACAGAGGCCUCUUUCUUCCCCAGGAAUGCUAAGCACAUGGGCAUCCUGAUACCUCAACUCCUCCAGUCCCAAAUACUCUGCCUGUUUGUCCCCUUUGUCCUGAGCCACCCCGUAGGACCUGCAGGUCAGGCACUGACUUCAUGUCAGGUCCCCGAAGCAGUUUUGUUCUCUCAGCAGUGUCCACUGGCCUGCAGCCAGGCACCUCUCUCCCCCAGCCUGGGUCACUGGCAAGGGAGCAAGAAGAGUUCUGGGCUCACAGCAGGCAGUGGAGUGUAGUCACAGAGCCUGAUCCGGCUUGAAAUCCCAGAUCCUUUGCUUACUAGGCUGUGUGGCCUUAGGUGAGUUACUUAAUCUCUCCGUGCUUCAGUUUCUGCAUAUGUAAAACAGGGAUAAUAUCUAGCUCACUGGGUUAUGAUGAGACGUAAGUAACUUCAUACAAACCCCUUAGGACUGAUGCCUGGGCAUUUCUAAGUACUCAGUGAAGGCAAGCUGCUGUUUUUAUGGGCCCAGGUCUAGGAAAAAAGAAUCAAACAGCCAGGGGAAAGGGGAUGCUCUCCACUGUAUAUUAAGUUCUAUCAUAGGGACCAUUUUAGCUAAACACAGAAAAACAGAGGAGGGGGCUGGGUGUGGUGGCUCAUGCCUGUAAUCCCAGACCUUAGGAGGCUGGAUUGCUUGAGCCCAGGAGUUCGAGACCAGCCUGGGCAAUAAAGUGAGACCCCCAUCUACAAAAGAUACAAAAUUUAGCUGGGUGUGGUGGCGCAUGCCUGUAGUUCCAGCUACUAGGGGGCAGGGUGAGGUGGGAGGGUAACUUGAGCCUGGGAGGCAGAGGUUGCAGUGAGCUGAGAUUGCAUCACUGGUCUCCAGCCUGGGCGACAGAGGGAGAUCCUAUCUCAAAAAAAAAAAAAAAAAAAAGACAGAGGAGGAACAAGGAACAAUUAUCCCCCAUUUUACAGAUCAAAAGCUGAGUGAAGCAGUGGUCCAGCUGGAAUUCAACACCUGAGAUAUCUGACUCCAGAUACCAGCCCUUCCUUGCUUCCCACUAGCUGCCUAACCCAGAGAGGAGAUUGGGAAAAGAGAAACAAGUUACAGAAUUCAAGAUGUCCCACUCAAACAUGGUAGCCACACUGAACUGAAUGAAGGCCCCCAAAUGCCUGCUUUCCCUUCUUCCAGCCUCUGCAGUGAAACUGCCAUUGCAAACUUGUAACAGACAGUGAAAGAGAUCUGACCUAACCAACUUCAUCUUGCUUCUAACCUCCAAGCUGUCCUUGUUGGUUCCUGGGCACAGGCUGAACUGACUUUGGGAGAAAGUUUAUAGUUUAAAACAAAGACGAUAACAGCCCUUUCCCAAAACAAACCUCCUUCUUGCCUGGGGACUAGACUGCCUUUGCAGGACAAGAAAUUAGCCACAAGAUUAGAAAUUAUGGUUUAGGAGUCAUGCAGCUGGAGACUACCAGGUUCUGACCCUCCCUAAACUGCUCCUCAGAUCAGUGCUUGAGACAUUUUGCAGACCCUGCACUUGAUGGAUCGGCUGGCACCACCCAGAUCAAUAAACUGGCUCAUCUGAUCUUGCAGCCUCCACCCAGGAACUGACUCAGCGCAAGAAGACAGCUUCGACUCUGUAUGAGUUCAUCUCCAACCUGACCAAUCAGCACUCCCGGCUCACUGGCUUCCCCCCAUCCACCAAGUUGUCCUUAAAACUCUGCUCCCCGAAUGCUUGGGGAGACUUAUUUGAGUAAUAAUAAAACUCUGUUCUUCUGCAC
rnacentral:lncRNA from 1 species